AGCAGCCGCGGUAAUUCCAGCUCCAAUAGCGUAUAUUAAAGUUGUUGCAGUUAAAAAGCUCGUAGUUGAAUUUUGGAUUCUUCCAAUUGGUCCAUCUUUUAGAUGAGUACUGGUUGUGUGGGGUCUAUCCGCCUGGUGAUACGUAAUGUCCUUUAUUGGAUGUUGCGGGUAGUCAGGACCUUUACCUUGAAAAAUUAGAGUGUUUAAAGCAGGCUUAUGCCGGAAUACAUUAGCAUGGAAUAAUAGAAUAGGACGAAGUUGUUUUAUUUUGUUGGUUUCUAGGACAACCGUAAUGAUUAAUAGGGAUAGUUGGGGGCAUUAGUAUUCAAUUGUCAGAGGUGAAAUUCUUGGAUUUAUUGAAGACUAACUACUGCGAAAGUAUUUGCCAAGGAUGUUUUCAUUAAUCAAGAACGAAAGUUAGGGGAUCGAAGACGAUCAGAUACCGUCGUAGUCUUAACCAUAAA
rnacentral:rRNA from 1 species